rnacentral:rRNA from 1 species
UGCCAGCCGCCGCGGUAAUACGGAGGGGGUUAGCGUUGUUCGGAAUUACUGGGCGUAAAGCGCGCGUAGGCGGACUAUUAAGUCAGGUGUGAAAUCCCUGGGCCCAACCUAGGAACUGCAUCUGAAACUUCGAGUCUUGAGUGUCGGAGAGGGAAGCGGAAUUCCGGGUGUAGAGGUGAAAUUCGUAGAUAUCCGGAGGAACACCGGUGGCGAAGGCGGCUUCCUGGACGACUACUGACGCUGAGACGCGAAAGCGUGGGGAGCAAACAGGAUUAGAUA